rnacentral:tRNA from 1 species
GCUUUCCUCGUGUAGUGGUCAGCACGCUGGGUGCGUAUUCCAGAGGUCCGUGGUUCGAUUCUCGGCGAAGGCG